UACGGGGGGAGCAAGCGUUGUUCGGAUUUACUGGGCGUAAAGGGCGCGUAGGCGGUCAGCACAAGUCAGUUGUGAAAUCUCCGGGCUUAACUCGGAAAGGUCAACUGAUACUGUGCGACUAGAGUGCAGAAGGGGCAACUGGAAUUCUCGGUGUAGCGGUGAAAUGCGCAGAUAUCAGGAGGAACACCAGUGGCGAAGGCGGUGCUCUGGGCCGGAACUGACGCUGAGGAGCGAAAGCGUGGGGAGCAAACAGG
rnacentral:rRNA from 1 species